UCUAAAAAGAGUGCAGUUACUAUGAUUGCAUAUAUUAAAGUUGCUGCAUUUAAAAUGCUUUUAGCUGGACUCUGAGUAGUGCAGUGGUAAAGUGCUCCCUAGUUCGGUUCCCUGGUGAUGCUGUAACCUCUCGCAGCCAGAGAUCCAGACAGAGCUGAUCGGCCGAGCUCGCUCAGCGGGGAGGGAUGAGAGACCUGCAAGAGUUUGAAGGAGGAUGCAUGUUUUUCAGUGAGCACCUUGAAGUUUCAUCCAUCUCCCUCCCAAUGCCCUCUUCAACUGCUGUCUUGAACCUCAUCAAGAUGGGAGAUCAUUGCUGGUGGUGGAUGUAGGAGUAUCGGGCCAGAGGCAUCAGGAGCAGAGUGGCAGGCUACGGCUGUCUCGAAGGUGCAUCGAUCGAACAGGUGGACAUACCUGUAGGUGUCCCAUUUGUGGUCAAGUGUAUGCUGAUGUAGCCCAGCACCCAAGGUCCACAGAAAAGGUUACUGAACCAACUGAAUCUGUUCUUUUACCCAAACUUUCUCACUGACACUUUACUUUGAGACAGCAGUAGCCUGCUUCUGAUGCCUCUGGCCUGAUGCUCCUACAUCCACCACCUGUCCAGUCCAAUUCUGCAAGGCUAAAUACAUUAGACUAGACAAGCACCUGCAAAAAAUCCACAAA